rnacentral:tRNA from 1 species
GGAGGGGUGGCCGAAUGGUAAGGCAGCGGUCUUGAAAACCGCCGCGCGAAAGCGCUUGCAGGUUCGAGCCCUGUCCCCUCCG